CCUACGGGUGGCAGCAGUGAGGAAUAUUGGUCAAUGGACGAGAGUCUGAACCAGCCAAGUAGCGUGAAGGAUGACUGCCCUAUGGGUUGUAAACUUCUUUUAUAUGGGAAUAAAAUGUUCCACGUGUGGGAUUUUGUAUGUACCAUAUGAAUAAGGAUCGGCUAACUCCGUGCCAGCAGCCGCGGUAAUACGGAGGAUCCGAGCGUUAUCCGGAUUUAUUGGGGUUAAAGGGAGCGUAGAUGGGUUGUUAAGUCAGUUGUGAAAGUUUGCGGCUCAACCGUAAAAUUGCAAUUGAUACUGGUAGUCUUGAGUACAGUAGAGGUAGGCGGAAUUCGUGGUGUAGCGGUGAAAUGCUUAGAUAUCACGAAGAACUCCGAUUGCGAAGGCAGCUUACUAGA
rnacentral:rRNA from 1 species